CCUUCCAGGACCUUGCUGUGGAGGAGUAGCAGGAGUGCUAGCACGCAUGUGCAGCACAGGAUCCAGUUGAAGUGACGGGGGUAUAGAAAUUUGACGGGGUAUAGCCAGUGGUGUAUCCUGGUUUUGUGCUGCCCUAGGCAGGACAAAACUCAGGCGCCCCCCCCCCCCCCACACCAGCCUCCCCCCCCAAGCCUUCUAAAUACACACACACACACACACAUUCACUGACAGAUACGCAUACACUCGCUAACAGAAACACACACACACACUAACAGACACACUCACACUCACUAACAGACACACACAGUCAGACACACACACUAACAGACACACACUCACUCACUCACUAGCAGACACACCCUAGCAGACACACACACACACACUCACACUCACACAGUCAGACACACACACACACAUUAACAGACACACACUCACUGACACACACACUCACAGGCAAACACACUCACACUAACAGACACACACAUAGUCAGACACACACACUAACAGACACACACACACACACUAACAGACACACACACUCACUGACACACACACUCACUGACACACACACUCACUGACACACAGUCAGACACACACACACACACUAACAGACACAUACAGUCAGAAACACACUCACUCAUUAGCAGACACACACUAGCAGACACACAUAGUCAGACACACACUAGCAGACACACACUCACUCAUUAGCAGACACACACACACACACACACACACUAACAAACACACACACAUUAACAGACACACUCACAGACAUAUACACACACUCACAUUAACACAUUUUUUUUUAUUUAUCCCCCCCCAACCUCCUUACCUUUGGGAAUGCUGGGGGGGGGGGUCCCUCUCUCCCUGGUGGUCCAGUGGCUGAUGGUCAGGAGGGCGGGCGGCUGGCGAG